CGAGUUAACGGGACUUAAAAUAAAAAGGGUUAUAACUCUCGAAACCCACUAAGUAACUAGGAAUAUCAACCUAGUUAAUUAUGUGGUUUGAAAACAAUAAAGAAAACUUGGUUUAUAAUCCUUUUGAUAACUCUAAAAACUUGAGGGACUAAAAGUGUUAAAUGAGAAAAUAGUUUUAAUUUAAUAAAAAUCAAAACACCAAAACACACACUCAUGUGUGUGUUCUGGUCGUGAUUUACACAGGAGCCAAAAAGAGUUUUUAUCAAAACCCUAAAUCACAAGAAAUUCAGCCAAAUCAAGGGAAAUCAAGCUAGGAAAUUGGGGCUUUUAAUAAAUUAGUGAUCACCAAACCUAGGGGAUUACAAGUUUGACGCCUAACAAGCUAGGUAGAAGCUUGUGGAUGAAGCGGGUCAAACGGAGCGCGUACGGAAAGAAAGGCGUGGCAUGGAUGCAAGGUAAGUAUAGCUUACACUAGUCUUAUAUGUUAGGAUAUUCUCUUAUCGUAUUAGUUAUGAAUGAGAUAAAUACAUAAUUGAGGUAUGAUGUUCCGGCGUGUAAACGUACGGAACAAAGUAGUCAAUCAUGACAAGAAACCAUGUGAAUGGUUAAAAGGAGUUAAAUCGGUAAAUUGGUCAUGCGUUGACCAUAACUAUUGGUUUUGAAAGACACAGUAAAACAUAAACCAUGAUAGGCUAAAAGGUGUUAAGAAAUGAUUAAUAAGUGAAAUGACCGCACGAUGUAAACCGGAGCGAGUCAUGUAGAUGAGAUGGUAAUAAAUAUCAUCUCGUCAACAUAUUCGGUCACUUAGACCAAAUGGGUUAAAAGGUGAAGAUAUCACCCCUUGACAAUAACGACUAAUGAUUUUUGUCGAGUUAUAUUAUUUCAGGUGUAAAUGUCAAAUGGGUAUUAGCAACGCUAUGAAUUAGCGGUUAUAAAAGCAAGGUAUUAAAAACGGGUCAAUAUAUUGAUCUGCGCCAGGUAUGUGAAAAAGGGUAACCCUCAUUUAGAACAUGUGGUUCAAAGAGUGUUAAAAUUAGUCAAGGUGAACAUUUGGUUACUUGAUAAGUAAACCAAAUGUUUUAGGUAAGGAACAUUGUAUUUGGAAAGCUUAAUGACUUUUCAAACAAAAUCAUAGGUUAAAAGAGGGAUUACGGGUCAAAAUAAGCAUACGAGUGAAAACGGGUUUAAAUUGUGUAAUAAACCUGUGAUUAUAACCUAAUAUGGUAAAUAACCUUAAUUUGAAGUAGUGUACGUGAUAUAAAGGUUAAACAAGUAUGUUUGUUUGAUAAACGUAUAAACGGGUCAAAAUUUUGGUAAAAGAGUAAUAAGCCGAAGACUUAAAAGUCUUAAAUUUUAUUAAUCCGGAUGUUGGAUUUUAACUCCAUAUGACGGAAGAUUAAAUUACAAUCAUGUAGGAAGAAACGGUAGAUCAAACGGAUAAGCGGUUUGAAAGAUACGAAAGUUUUCGUGUCGAAUAAUGGCAAAAAUAGAGAAGCUGGAUGCAGAGUCCACCGUAAUUUACGGUCCCACCGUAAAUUACGGUGGAGAUGAAUUGGUUACGGUGCUAAUUGUCUGUUGUACGGUAGAAGAAUAGAAACCCAGGGGCCACCGUAAUUUACGGUCCCACCGUAAAUUACGGUGGAGAUUAUUUUUUUUUAUAUAUUUUGUUUUCUUUUGAAAAUCAAUUGUUUCCCGGACAUCGUUCGGACAUGAUUUAAACCCCGUAUGACUAAAGCAUUUCAUGUUUAUGAAAUGUAGGUACACCUUGGACGCCGGAAGACGAUCAAGCUCAGCGAAGAACCGAACACGAUAAUGAUGCACGCUUCCGCACUUUGCUACGUUGUAAUUUUUAAACAACGAAUUCGAUCACGUUAUGUAGAAUAACUUAUGAUUUAUAAAAGUUUUAAUAAACCCGUAUUUCCAAAUGUUUAUGAAAUCUUAUAUUACAUGAUUGUUUUACGUAAAAUUUACGUUAAACCUUGAAUAAUAAGACCGGGUGUUACAAGUUGGUAUCAGAGCCUUGGUUUAAGAGAUUCGAGUAUGGUGGGGAGGAACCAUGCUUGGACUUAAACCUUAUGCUCUUGACAAAGAAUAGUGUUCGGUUCGAGGCUUGAUCGCAAAUCCGGUAAGUACAAGUACGUGAAUAGUUAGUAUGCUAAAGUGUUGUAAACAACACAUAGGGCUAUCGUGUGAUACGCGUUACCCCAAUUAAAAUGAUUGAAAUAGUUGACGAAAAUACGCGCGUUGACGCGUGUAGUAGAAAAAGCCUUGUAUUAUAAUACGGGCGAUUAUUACGGUUGACGUUACUAACUUUUGUGAAUGUUCUAAAUUGAAGGACACUCGCGUUUGAAGACGACGAGAGUCAAACGAAUAGUGGAUAUGAUGAUGGAACGGUCCGAAGUAUGACAAGAGGAGCAUACUCACCGAGGACUAAAUCGCGUAAUGACCGCGAACAAGGUUAAUGGCAAAGAACGCCCGUCGGGGAAAACAUUACCAGGUGCACAUUUUAAAUAAUAGCAUAAAUAGUAAUAUGCAACAAUAAGUAGGAACUUAAAAGUUGCAUAUGUAAAAAUUAAAAAAAAACUUGGAAAGACCUGGAUAGAAAACCUAUCCGGGAUAUUGUUUCCAAGAAAAACAGAUAGAGGUAUUACUUACAUAGGGCGUGAUGUGAAAACUGUAAAAAGGUCAUGCGUGUCAUGUGUUAAUCGCUUACUCUGGCCAAGUAAGUAGCGGCAUAUGUUACCAUGAACUUCUUACGGCGGACACGUUUACAUCCGAUGUAGUAAGGGCAGGGUGAAUGGGACUAAUUAAAAAGUGCCCAAAUGAAUCAGAUAAGCAAAAUACUUGGUAACAAUGUAAACGCACAACCAAGUGACGGGAGCGUAUUACAUUAGGAUAAUGAGCCCGAGUGAAGGGACAAACAAGCAUGUAAAAUGAUUCAGACAAGUAUUGGGAAAGAGUGUACUUACACUCGAACCCAGAAAACAUCAAGUAUUGGGAGGGAGUGUACUUACACUCGAACCCAGAAAACAUCAAGUAUUGGGAGGGAGUGUACUCACACUCGAACCCAGAAAACAUCAAGUAUUGGGGGGGUAGUGUAUUUACACUCGAACCCAGAAAACAUCAAGCAUGUAAAACGAUUUAGACAAACAUUGGGAGGGAGUGAUACUUACACUCGAACCCGGAAAAAUGCAAACAUGUAAAGUGAUGUAGAUAUGCAUUGGGAGGUAGUGUACUUACACUCGAACCCGAAGAAUACAAAUAAGACUCUUAGCAGGCCGAUUUUGUAAAACACCAAAUUUGAUAACGAAGUAGGAAUAUAAAAGUGAAACGAAGUCAUAAUACAUACCGUAUGGGUUGCAAUAAUAACGACUUCGGUAAAACACCCAGUUGGUGGGUAAGGAUUUAAACACAUGCGUAGACUGAGAAACAGGAACGCAAAAUAGAAAGUCAAAAGACUCGGAAUAUGAGUCAUGACUAAAAGAUGAUAAGAAUCUUCGCAAAUAUAAAUUUAGGUAAUUGCGUUCAACCAAUUCAAAGUUGGACGGGUCAAAUAAAGAACGAAGUCUGACAUUCAUAGGUGAUGAAAAUUCACCUAAAAUGAGUCAAACGAGUCAA